GCAAGUACAAGGUACUAUCUUGGAGAAAAUUACAACAAAAAAUUCUCUCCUACAUCUGCGAAAACAAUAAACCACGGAGAGCAUAUAAUGUUAUUAAAAAAGAUAGCACUCCAUUUGGGUUGGACUUUCCGAAUUUUUGUGUUCUUCAUACUGUAACUAUGUUUUCACACCUGAUUGCAUAUUACCUGGAGAAAAAUAUGUCAACUGGCUGGUUUCAAUGUGAGAGAUAUCGGAUGGGAAAACUAAUUCCUUCUCACUUGUACUGGAUUAAGCCUUCUGGGGCUAGACGAUUGAAGUUCUCAAACCUUAUUAUUAUCGAUGCAAUUAAAAUGGGGGCAAGGGUGGGAGCAAAGAUGGGUAUUUAAGAAUAUAUUACUCAGGAUACACCGAUAAUUGUCCUUAACCAGUACAGUGAAGAUCUAGAUUGAUCAAGUUGGAGUAGUAAAGGAGUUACUAUAGUGGCACAUUUGUGUUCGGAAGGAGAUUUCGCUAAUCAAGAUAUU